rnacentral:rRNA from 1 species
AACGAACGCUGGCGGCAUGCCUAACACAUGCAAGUCGAACGAGACCUUCGGGUCUAGUGGCGCACGGGUGCGUAACGCGUGGGAACCUGCCCUUAGGUUCGGAAUAACUCCCCGAAAGGGGUGCUAAUACCGGAUAAUGUCUUCGGACCAAAGAUUUAUCGCCUUUGGAUGGGCCCGCGUUGGAUUAGCUAGUUGGUAGGGUAAAAGCCUACCAAGGCGACGAUCCAUAGCUGGUCUGAGAGGAUGAUCAGCCACACUGGGACUGAGACACGGCCCAGACUCCUACGGGAGGCAGCAGUGGGGAAUAAUGGACGAUGGGCGAAAGCCUGAUCCCGCCAUGCCGCGUGAGUGAUGAAUGCCUUAGGGUUGGAAAGCUCUUUUACCCGGGAUGAUAAUGACAGUACCGGGAGAAUAAGCUCCGGCUAACUCCGUG